rnacentral:rRNA from 1 species
GACGAACGCUGGCGGCGUGCUUAACACAUGCAAGUCGAACGGAAAGGCCCUGCUUUUGUGGGGUGCUCGAGUGGCGAACGGGUGAGUAACACGUGAGUAACCUGCCCUUGACUUUGGGAUAACUUCAGGAAACUGGGGCUAAUACCGGAUAGGAGCUCCUGCUGCAUGGUGGGGGUUGGAAAGAUUCGGCGGUUGGGGAUGGACUCGCGGCUUAUCAGCUUGUUGGUGGGGUAGUGGCUUACCAAGGCUUUGACGGGUAGCCGGCCUGGGAGGGUGACCGGCGACAUGGGGACUACGAGACGGCCCAGAAGCCUACGGGAGGCAGCAGUGGGGAAUAUUACGCAAUGGGCGGAAGCCUGAGGCAGCAGCGCCGCGUGCGGGAUGACGGCCUUCGGGUUGUAAACCGCUUUCGCCUGUGACGAAGCGUGAGUGACGGUAAUGGGUAAAGAAGCACCGGCUAACUACGUG